UGGGAACCGUGCAGAGAGAAAUGUUUUUCUCGGAACUUGUAAAAGAACAAAGAGUUUUCUCAUCUUUUGUCUUUGUUAAUUCAAGUUUAAAUAGUGAUAUCAACACAACGAAGUUCUCCUUUAUUUAUUGUUUCAGAAGUUUAAUUUAUUCAUAUUAUUUGGUAAAUGCAUUGUCUUAUAAAAGACUCCUAUCAUUUAAGUUUUCAAUGACACCACUAACUUGGAUUCCUGGAAUUGCCACUGGUUGUGUAUCCUCAAUGGAUUGUCUUCUCUCUUUCAUAAAUGGCUUACUUGGUUGCUAUUGCUACAACCACUUGUAAAUACAGCAAUCCAAGUGAAUUGUUGCAUUUUAUUUAACCCCGUAUCAUUUUAGAUAUUUGUGAUGAAUAACAACAUUGGAAGAUCACACUUUGGGCUAUGUUCUGGAUAGGCGGCGCAGCUGUUAGUGGGAUAGUUGUACAAACUAAGAGGGAUGGUAGCACAGAGUGGUGGUUGUGGUGGUCUACUUGGGUUGGAAGGGUGACGAUAUUUAUUUUCAUACUCUUUAUUUGAUGCGUGCAAAACUUUGGUAGGAGUGCGCUGAGAUCCUCGGGCAUAAUGAUUAUUAGGGAAAUCAGAUUGGAUCAAGCCAGUAUUAAGUCGGUCUUAUUUUCACCAGAAACCUUUCCCUUUGUACUUUCAGGGCUUUGCAGACGUACUACUUCCGAACGACUUAGGAAGCCUUUGCAUUUUUUGGCGAAGUUGUCGAUGCUAGAUUAGUGACUGAUUGUGUCUCUUGAUAUAACAAGGGAUUUGGUUUCAUGAGGUAUGCUACAAUUGAACAUGCUGCAGAAGGUAUAAAGGGAAUGGAUGGCAAAUUCUUGGAUGGAUGGGCUAUAUCCGCAGUCUACGCUAGACCAAGGCCACCUCUGACGGGGAACAAUGCAGGACCACCAUCUGAUCAGCCUGGAUAUGGGUCUCAAUUUGGUCGAUGUUGAAUUAUCAGUGGUAGAAGCUGAUCAUUUCUAAGGUAUCACAGUGGUUUGGACAAACAAUAUGGUUGUAGUUCUUGGGUUUAUGAUCGUUGUUCACACUUUACAGCCCUGUUCUCUUUCUUCGUCCGUAUACUAUGAAAGUCGAGCCAUGCCAUGAUAUGUAUUGGAGCUGAUUAUAUUAUUGAGUAAUACAUAGACUCGUGUUCGUGCAUGUUAAAACAUUUGUGUGUUAUUCAUGCGCAUUCUGUGGGACUCGUUUGUACUGUACAAUGACAAUCAUAAAUGGUUGUGUUUCCGGGGUCGUCUUUGAUUGCAGUUUUCUAGUCACCGUGUCUUUUAGAAUACAUUAGCUGGAAAUAUGGAGGCACUGGCAAGGUGUGGAGUUUAGUUAAUUGCCCUAGAAUGAAAUGGUUUGUGUUUUGAUUGCUGCUGCUGCUUCUACUGCUGGUUAGGCAGUGCUGGGUUUCAACUUACAGCUGUAUAAAUCCUGUCCCCCACCACCGGUUUUGCGGAUUUUGGUCUAAACACAAACCUGUCUGUAGAUAUUUGGAGUGGGAGAGGUGAAUAUUUCUUAGAACUUAUUAGGUACGGUCCCUAGUGAAAAAUGCACGAAUCAUGCUCACGCAAGGUGCUUCUCUGUGUGGUAUUGUAAAUGAAUUUGGAUUCAUUUGAACUGGUAAUUAAUCUGCUGGCCAUUUGUUGGAGUAAUACGCAGGUGGCACUAAAUCAAAGGAUAUUUUUGCCCUUUAUUUUCACACAACGGGAUUCACAACUCAGUUAUUCGGGUAAUUCUAUUCGCGCCAUCUUUUUCAGUACUUGCACCAAAUUAAGAAAAUUCUCCAUAAAUUUGAGUAUUUCCUCCUCCUUUACUCAUUAUCUGCACUUACAAAUCUCCACCACUUGCCCCCAUUCACCACCUUCUAUUCCGAUCACUGCUGCUAUCAUUUCUUGCAAUUUUUGUUCAUUUUUCAGUGUCUAUUCACUUUUCUCAACCAUAUCAGAAAAAUUCUUGUGAUUGUCUUCAUCUCCAGCCACUCCUCCCGAAGGUCUCAAGGAUUGUGAAAGUCAUAUCCAUCAUCACUCCAUUUUGAUAAAAUUCAACUCAUGGUUGAAAAAACCCAUUCAUCUGCCAAGGAAUUCAAUUAAUCUUAUUUUGGUAAAAAACGCCAGUCCAUGAUGUAUUUACAUGAAAACAAACUUGAAUAUCAUUAUUUUUUUGAACUUGGGUGAUGAAGUUCUGUUCAACCGACAACUUCUGUUCGGACCAUAAAUUCCGAACAAAUUAUAUAAUGUUAAAGCCUUAUUUUUUUUGGCUGAUUAGAGCAAGUUCAUUCAUUUGUGUCAAAAUGGCCAAAGUGUUUUUAGUUUGCUAUGGCGUUAAAAAGUCAAGAAAUAGCCAUGAUGUUGCACCUGUUUGGUGCUAUUUCGGCACAAUCUCAAAUUCCAACUAGGGCUUUUUACCUCUAGGUCCAAAAAAUAGAAAUAAUUCCCAGCAAGUCUCAUCUAAUUAAUGAAACACUAAAACCCUAAACUCUGAAAGUGUCUAACCCUUAGAGCAUCCUAUGAAAGUGCCCAAACCCUAGGGUACCCUAAAAAAAUGUCUAAACCCCUAAGGUAACCUAUGAAAGUGCCUAAACAACUAAAAUCCUAUAAUAGGAAAGUGCACCCUAAAACCUUUAUGAAAGUGCCUAAAACUAAACCCUAGGGGCUCUAUGUAAGCGCCUAAACCUAGGGUACCAUAAACCCUAGGGUAUCCUAAAUCCUAAAACCCGAAAAUACCCUAAAACCAUAGGGUACCCUAAAACAAAGCAAGAGGUAGUAUUGUACGUCAAAUACAAGACGUAGUAUGUGACAUAUUUCGCGUGGUGGGUUUCCUUCUUUUUGUCGAGCUUAGUUUUUUAGUAGUUUCCAAUGCAAACGUACCAAAACAAUGAAAACAAAGUAGCAAGCUUUAAUAGGCGUUUAUGAGACCUGCAGAUGGGUGUCUUUUCCUUUUUGUUUUGUGUCUUUCAUAAAGGUAAAAGUAGCAAAUGAGCCAAACAAUUAAUCAUCGAUCAAUUUUCGCAAACAGGGUUCUGUCAUAUGGAAGUACAAAAUUGGGGGGAAAGAUACAUAAGCUAUCACAAACCAAACAGCUAUCACACUUCCAUCUCGAGAAAAAAAGCUUUGGUCUUGGUGAACUAAUACAUUACACAAACUUUCGUAGUGCUAACAAAGGAACAUGUUAUCAAAAAAACAAAAACAAAGAAACAUGUUCAGGAUCAUCAGUGAACAAAAUUGAGGAAUGGGAAAAUUGAGGAAAAGUUGCUACAUAGAAAGAAGAAGAAAUUUGGUUUUAAUAGCUAAAUGAGUGAUACCUCUCAAAUUCAGAGAAACUCUAGAAAUUCGUAUAAGCAUCAGCCAGAGGAGUGAUUAUAGGAAACCUAGUUUUAAUUAAUCGUUUUAUCGUAGAAGGUGAAGGUGGACAAUAUAUAUAGGCGGCCGAGAUGGCUUUCUUUCUUUUUCCAAGGAGUUGUCAACAUUGUCAGUUACCAAAUGGGUGGCUGACAAUAUGUGGCGGUACAUUUUGGUGUUGAGGCGGUGGAGGAAAGCAAAUGCGGGCAGAAGAGGUUAGGCUGUUGCUUAGGAAGAGGACGGUACUUUGGUCUUUUAAGACCUGCUGCAGCAGAAACCGCCCAACUGCCUCUCUUAUAAUAGGCAGUAGAUGCAUAUUGAUUCAAACGUUGCUCCAACAGAGGACUAGUCACAACUAUCAACCAAUUUUGCAAUAACAAACCAGAAACUAAAAUUGACACCAAAUUUAAUAAUUGCUAAGUAUACAGCAUGCCAAAUAAUACGUUGGACCACCACUUUUGAAACCAUAAUUGCAACCACAUUUAGAGAUAUCGGCUUGCAAAGAAGAAACUGUGAUUCGUAAGAUUUUUUCAUUUCAUAAAGCAGGACAUCUUCACUAUGAUAAUAUUCUGACAUAAAGAAGCUUUCAUUAUGUACCUGGAAAAACUUUCCCCGAGCAACACAAAAGGGCAUCAAACACCAAGGACAACUAAUUUCAAUAAAAAAUGUUCUAUGGGCAGCAUAUAUAUUGCACAUACAUAAUUAUGGUAUUAGUAUGGUAACGUACCUUCAGGUGUCAAACCCGAAUCAGCUAUGGGAAUAAAUAUGUUGAACUACUACUACUAUGACUAGGUAUGAAAUUCAGCAGGCCAAGCGUCGAACAAGCUAUAAAUGAGCCACAAAGAAAUCCAGAACAGCACACGGAGCGGGUUUGUACUUGAUGUUGCACAACAAGAUUUAGAAGAUCAGUUAACACUCAACACACACAUAUACUAACGUCAUAACCACGUGAUUCGCACUAGUCUUGUGCCCUCGUGGGACUACAGUUGAUAAAGAUUCGGCCAAGAUUUUCUAUUAAGAAGUGCACUCACGUAAUUAUCAAUGCCAUUGAUGCUGAUAAUAAAUAGGCCUCUGGUCACACCCAUGUAUGGAUUUAGCAGACAACAUUUCAUCUAUGAAACUAAUACAAUCUUGCAUCAAGCAAUAGAGAACCAACAGUUUAUUGUAAUCGAAAUACUUGCUCUGCAAUCAAUCAGCAGAGAUAUGGUCGGUGUUCAAAAAAUGACGUACGUAAAGAUGUGGUCAACCAUUGAGGGGGUUGGGAAGGUCACCACAAUCAUUUUCAGAUUAGCCACAGGAAUGACAUAAGAUGGAAACAAGUGACAGCAAAAUAUAAAUAUGUUAAAGGAGUAAAAAUAUAAAAAGUCACCUCCCACCAAGUGCAGUUUCAUGACAACCCUAGGACGGCAAGGCAUAGUGGAAUUUCAAAAACCUCGGGGUAGGUGUACGUCACCGAAAGAAAGAAGUGUGAAAAGUCACACACACACA